rnacentral:rRNA from 1 species
AUGGAAAAUAGAAAUACUUUUUCUUGGGUAAAGGAACAGAUAACUCGAUCGAUUUCUAUAUUGAUCAUGAUAUACGUAAUAACUCAGACAUCUAUUUCAAAUGCAUAUCCCAUUUUUGUGCAGCAGGGUUAUGAAAACCCACGAGAAGCAACUGGACGAAUUGUAUGUGCCAAUUGCCAUUUAGCUAGCAAGCCCGUUGAUAUUGAAGUUCCCCAAGUUGUGCUUCCCGAUAAUGUAUUUGAAGCAGUUCUUUGA